rnacentral:rRNA from 1 species
AUUGGUCCUAGUCCUAAUCUUAACUAUUUUUUCCUUGAUACAUGCAAGUUAUAAACAUCCCUGUGCAAAUUAAAAAUAUUUACACUUUUAUAAAAAAUAAAUAUUUAAUAAUAUUAGUCUUUAAUUUUUUUUAAAACUACUAUAUUUAGAAUAAUUCCACAACUGCAGUACUUAAUAUUUUACAAUAAGUGAAAACUUGAUACAGGAAAAAAAUUUAGAGUUGGUAAAUUAUGUGCCAGCCACCGCGGUUAUACAUAAAACUCUAGUUAAAAACUUACGGUUAAAAAGGUGGUUAAAUAUAAGUCCUAUUUAUAAGAUUCACAUUUCCUUUAGUAGUAAUAAACUAACAGAAUCCUAAUCCAUUUAAUCUUUUAUUAAUUUAAUUGAAUCCACGAAAACUCAAAAAUAAACUGGGAUUAGAUACCCCACUAUAUGAGUCAUUAAAUAAGUAAAUACCUGAGUACUACAAAUUAAAUUUUAAAACUCUAAGGACUUGGCGGUUUUUUAAACCUUUCUGGAGGAGCUUGCUAUUAAACCGAUAACCCACGUUACACCCUCACCAAUUCUUUGAAAAACCAACCUGU